rnacentral:lncRNA from 1 species
CGUGCUAGCAAUGGUGGUCCAAUGCCUCCAGCCAAGGCUGGCCGUUUGACCAAUGCAUAUGUAUCAUCUUUCCCGGCACCUCCUACAUUUGUCAGGUCUCCCUCACACACUCAAUACCCUGCUGGGGUGACAGCAUAUGCAUCUCCACCUGCGGUGUAUGGCAGCAGGAGUCCUCCCUAUGCUUACUCACCAGAAGCAGCUCCUCCCCUUGCUGGAUCAUACCCUGGUGCUCCCAUGAACUAUCCUGCAUACGGGGGCUAUGGCAAUGGUUUGGCACCAGCUUAUCAGCAGGCUUACUACCGAUAGACAUGACUACCCUUUGAAGAUGGUAACCACUGA